AAAAUAUUCUACUUACGUAAAGAAGUGACGAUAAAAAAAAUUUGAAAGCGUCAUCACAAGCCAUUUACAGAAACUUCCGCAAGCACUUUUUUUUGCGAAUGAAUCAAUUACCGUGCAUUGAAUCGCAUUCGAAUCAGUCCCGUGUUUCUAGGCUUUCCACCAAAAUCUCGUCUUAUAUCCACGGUGGCACAUGCGCGGACAAUGAGGCGCGGGAGGUAGAGCUUCGUUUUCGGUCAGUCGGCCGAGAGCCGUCGAGGAACUCGAGUUGUAUGCGAAUUUCGGUGCCCGCAACACACGCACGAGGUUUCGAUAGUCAUCGAAAACUGACAGAAAUCGCGACCGGUUCACUUAAAAAUAAUUCAUAACAUUCAUAAAAAUUCAUAACUUCCGUGUUGCAAGAUAUAAAAUUGACGACAAAACGUAAAACUCGUGGGCAGAUAUCUGCCGGAACUGGUUGAAAUACAAGCUCCGAUCGGAUAAACCGGGGGUGGAAUAUCGUCGCGAAUUUCUCCUUUCACGUGAAAAAUUUGCAUGUGAAAAUGAGACGUCGUACGCAGCAGCCAUGAUUAAUUGUAGCCUAAACCGAGGAAAGGCUCGACUCUGAAAGUUCGGUCGUGCGAAGGAAUCCAAAGAAAACGCGAACGUGACUCGACUGAUAGGAGCGAGACCGACGAACUUGGGGUUACCAGUGAAUUUCCGGGGGGAUACGUUGAAUGUGCUGGUGACAGAAAGAAACCGAUCGUUAAACAUCUCCUACUUGCGUUGGAUAAAAAAUGUACGUCUUCAGUCGGUCGGCCAAACUUAAUAAGAUAUGCUUAAUAAAAAUGUAAUUAACGAAUUUUAAAUAUCUCACGUGUAUUGCUCAUAAAAACCAGUGACUCCGGUUCGUCACAGUUAUAUAAUUCAAAAAGGAAUAAUUCUCGCGGGCCAGACAAUUUUUUACUCGUAACUGAAAUUCUCUCGACUGCACUUAGGGGAGGAGGAGAUAUCGAAAUAUUAAAAAUUCUGUGGAAAAUUCUCCGUCUCCGAAUUUUCUAUCGAGGGUGCUGUAUAACGCAUCUUACUUACGGACGGAUUUGCCACACUGACGUAUAAAGCAUGUGACGCCGAAUGUGUUCGGUGAAGGACUCAGGAAGGACUCGGGCUCGCGGAAGUUAGUAUGCACACAAGGGUUAAUGUUCCUGUCUCCCCGACUAGAACGAUGAGGAGAAUACACGGAGUUGGCCAAGCAUGAAUAAGGGAAGAUCCGGUGUGACGACCACCCGGAAAAUUUUCAUAGAGCUUACAUCACGAGGAUUUCGCGUCCAAUAAAUUCCUAGUUACGCCGGAGAGCAUAAUCAUACCCAUCGUGUCCUGCAUUCUGGGGUUUCCGUUACUGGCGUUAAUGGUAAUUUGCUGCCUACGGAGGAGAGCGAAGCUCGCUCGUGAACGGGCCCGACGAAGGAACUGUGAUUUGGAUCAUGGCGCAUUGAGCCUCGUUCGUUUCAGUCCGGUUCAUCGCCUAGGUGAGCCCACCGAGUUUAAAAGUGAAACUGGGACACGCGCGCGCACGAGGAACAGAUAUUCGCCGCGUGAAUAGAAACACCGAAUGGAAAUUAAAUCGCCCGUGCAGAAUUAAAUCCGUGCCGGAUACAAACACCCCAAAUCAACUGCAAGAAAAUUAUUAAAUAAGUUUAUGACACAUUUUCCGAUACACGUAAAACUUUAGUUUUUUAAUUUACUAAUAUUAAUUACAUUCUUUAAUUUACUAAUACUAAUUAAUUAAAUUCUAUAUUUAUAGAAAUAAUUUAAAUUAAAUUAAUAAUUUAAUUUAAAUUAUUUCCAUAAAUAUACCAUAUAUCUAAUACAUUUAAAUAAAAUUGAAAUAUAAAAUAUUUAUAUUGCUGUUCGCUAGCUUUAUAAAAUAAGUGUAGUACGACUCAUUAAUAUUUUUAACGACAUGACGUUUAUUUGAAAAGGCGCUACAAAUUUAUCACAUUUAUAGAGGAAACGAGAAAUGAAAUGCAACAGCGUUUGCUCCAAUUUUUUCCCCGUUCUAAUAGUGGCUACGUUGUUUUUUAUCUCCUCUUUCUCUUUUCCCUCUAUGCAUUUUUCCUUGACUCUCUGACUGACUGAGUACACGCACACGCAGGUAUGCUCCCUCGCGGCGGCAUAUAAAUGCGCUCGAUAUAGAGGUAAUGCGCGACCAUUGGCACAAACAUAAAGAGGGUAAAAGAGGCUCUACAGCAGAUUGAAUUCCAGUUUCAACAUUCGAAUUCAUGCACUGACGGAUAUUUUUAGCUGGAAACUAUGGUGGACGCGCAUAGCCGAUUAUUUCUAUUCGAAAGCAAAUACUCGAAAAAUUCCCAGUUAAAUCCUCGUCUCGCUCUUUUUAGCAGGAAAUAGUCCAGGCAUUAUAUAAAGUGUCAAAAAAAAAAAAAACAAUGUAUGAAAUAUCGUUCUAGACUUGCGCUUAAGUUUAUCGGAUUAUUUAUUAAUCUCGAAAUGAAGUUUGCAAAACAAUCCUCAAAGUAGCAAAGGUUGUGGGAAUCACCGAGCUAGAUAAAUUUUUUUUACAGCAGAAAGAAAUAAAUUUCUUUUCAUCCGAAAAAAACCCGGAUAUCGCACGCGGGUAUCGCAACAAAACGGAUCUAUCGCAUCGUGAUAUCAAAAAUUGGAUCUUACGUCGUUCAUUGAUAAUCCAUUUCCGCACGUACAAAGCGAUGCAUAAAAUACGGCGCUCCGGAGCGCCAUUUCUCUCGUGCGACAUCUUAUCCGGAUGCGAUUUCACGUAUUAUAUGUACAUGUGCACUUCCGCGCGAUCGAGGGAGUGAGCAUCCGAGGGGAUGACCGCGUUAUCAUCUCUCCGCCCGCUUUCAUAUCUAAAAUUCACAUUACGUCGAAAAGUUUUUAUUAUCUGGCAUCCAGUUUUUUUUUUUUUUUUUUUUUUGGUCGUCGGGGAAACGACAACGCGGCAGCAAAUAUACGGCAAUAAACGUCGUUUUCGCAUAAAGCAGUAUUAGCAUUUACAUCGCUAAUGCACUCCAACAUCCUCCAUUUACAUAUUGUUUGCAGAAGUAUCGGUAAACAAUCGCGUGGCACGACAAACUAAUUUGUUCGCGUUAUCAUCACUCAAAAUCGCCUGCAUAUACGCAGGUGUGUAAAAUUAAUAAUAACACGUGUAUUAUACAAGCAGUUUAAUUCAGAAUUGUGAUGAGCAGUGUGAUGAGUGCACCGAUUUCAAAGGGCCUGGUCGCAAAGAGAAGGACAUUAAAUUCUUCUCGUUAAUUAAUGCAGAUAUCAUUUUAAUUAACGGACAAUAUAUCUAAUAAAUAAAUGCAUAAUUAACGAAAUUACCUGAACAUAUAACAUACGUAUUUCAUCAUUAAAUAUCACCCAAACUCGUAACUUACAAUUAAUGAAAGCAUAAUAUGACGAAAAUUGUUUAUGUACACGAAAAUAACGGAUCUACCGAAAUGCAUAAAAAUUUAACGAGAUAUGCAAAUAAUUUUGUUGUCUUUUGACAUCGAAAUAAUUGUGCAGAACACUCAAGCAUAACGACCCAUGCAAAAAGUAUUGACGUUCCAGUAAGCGGCUUAAGCGUCCUACGUAAUUAUUUUGACGGUGCAUUCAGCAAAAGUUAUUUUUAGAUCUAGUUUUAGCUAAAUUUUUUUUAUACUUUAGCAAAACCGUUCCUUCCAUGUAAUAUAUGUCUCUUCAUAACUCUUCAUAACUUUUAUUAUAUAAUCUAAUGUAAAUUUACUUUUCUUAAUUUACCUGCAUUUUUAGAAUUUCUUAAUAUAAUUUAAAAUUGCAGAUAAUAAUAUAUUCCUGCUACUAUUAGAAAAGAAUUUUUAAUAAUACAUAAAAAUAGAGAUAAAACAACGUUAAAAAUAUAGGUUAAAUUCUUCACUAAAUUCUCGAUAAGACUUUCUUAAUAUACGCGUUGAUUUAAAAGGCAAUUUCUCUGUGUGUAUCAGCAAAAAAAA